AGCCUCAGGCAAUGUUUAUAUAAUUAAUCUUGAGUAAUAGAGAUGCUGUACCCCCUGACGGUGUGACCUUGCUACCUGGAUCAUCCCACUAGGCAAGACAAGUUCAAAACUUUCCAUGCAAACACUUUCAUGGCAGUUAAUUGCUAUAAUAGGAUAUGAAUAUAAUUUUGCCUUGCCAGGGUGGCUUGGGGGGGGGGGGUAGGAUUUCCCUAGUCCCCGGAGACCAUAUAAACAGGCCUUCAGAUUACUGUAAUAGUUUAAUUGAGGUUCAAAAAAGCAGCCCCCCAAUGCAACUAAAAGUGGUAGGCCUGCUCUCCAAAUCCAGCCCCCCUUGGAAGAUGUACUGUAAAGCUAGACAAUUUUACUUGUUAGUUACCCAACUUUAACCCAAUGAGUUGCAUUGUGCCCUGAUGCACCCUAGUUUAUUAUUUUACUCUGUCUAACAGCAGACAAUUUUACUCAUCAAGGGGUGGGCACAUGACUUUAAAGGGAAAGUAUUAAUUGGGAAUACUUUAACAAUGCAGUUAUUCAUAGUAUUUAACUUUUCAUAUAAAGCAGAGACUGUAAGAGGAAACAUGGAUCAUUGGCUACUUUUUUUAUUUAGUAUUAAUUUUCAUGGCAACAUGUGGGGUCAACUAUAAAGGAAAC